UACAGGGGGGGCAAGCGUUGUUCGGAAUUACUGGGCGUAAAGGGCCAGUAGGCGGCCAACUAAGUCCGACGUGAAAUCCCCAGGCUUAACCUGGGAACUGCGUCGGAUACUGGAUGGCUUGAAUUCGGGAGAGGGAUGCGGAAUUCCAGGUGUAGCGGUGAAAUGCGCAGAUAUCAGGAAGAACACCAAUGGCGAAAGCAGCUCUCUGGGACGGUACUGACGCUGAGACGCGAAAGCGUGGGGAGCGAACAGG
rnacentral:rRNA from 1 species